UAAUUUGAAAAAUUUAAUUUAUUUAUUUUUUUAAUUUAAGUAUUAGAGAGUUUAAAUUUAAUUGGGAUUAAUUUUUUUAUUAAUAGUAUAUAGUAAUGUAAAUGAAAAUUGAAAUAAUUUGAAAAUUUAUUUGUUUAAAAGGAAAAUUUAUUUUUUGUACCUUGUGUAUCAGGGUUUAUUGAAUAGAUAAAAUUUAUUUUAUUAUCCCGAAUUAAUAAGAGUUAUUUUUAUAUAAUAUUUAUUGUUGAAUAAAUAUAAUUAAUAUAUAGAUAGGGGAGAAAUUUUAUUCGAUUAUUAAUAUAUCUGGUUUAUUCAGAAAUUAAUUUAAUUAAUAUAAUAAAUUUUUUAUUUAUUAUUAAUUUUUUAGUAAAAGUUUAUUAUAAAAAUUAUUGGGGAUGAGCUCAAUAAUUAUUUUUAAAAAUUUUUUUUAUUUAUUUUUAUUAAUAUAAUUAGAAUUAUUAAUUUAUUGUAGGAUUUUAUAAUUAAUAUUUAAGGAUUUUAAUAUUUGAAUAAAUUUUAAAUUUUUUAUGAGUAUAAUAACUAUAAUUAUUUUGGUUAUGUAAUAAUGAUAAAAUUAGUAUAUUUUUAUUUAUUAAUUAAUUAAUUUUUUAGGUUAGGAAAAGGAACUCGGCAAUUAAACUUUUCGCCUGUUUAAUAAAAACAUCGUGUUUAGAUAAAUAAUUUAAGAUAUGACCUGCCCAAUGAAGUUUAAAUGGCCGCGGUAUUUUGACCGUGCAAAGGUAGCAUAAUCAUUAGUUCCUUAAUUAGGAGCUGGAAUGAAUGGUUGGACGAGAAAGUGACUGUCUCUUUUUAAAUUUAUAGAAUUUGAUUUUUGAGUUAAAAAGCUCAAAUUUUUUUAAUAGACGAGAAGACCCUAUAGAGUUUAAUUUUUUGUUGUUUAUAUUAAAUGGGGAAUUGAAUUUAUUUAAAUAAUAAGAAAAAUUUGGUUGGGGUGACUUAAAGAUUUAAAUAACUCUUUAUUAUUUACAUUAUUAAUUUAUAUUUUUUUGAUCCUUUAUUAUUGAUUAAUAGAAUAAAUUACCUUAGGGAUAACAGCGUAAUCUUUUUGGAGAGUUCUUAUUGAUACAAGGGAUUGCGACCUCGAUGUUGGAUUAAAAUUAAUUGUUGGUGUAGAAGCUAAUAAAUUAAGUCUGUUCGACUUUUAAAAUUUUACAUGAUCUGAGUUUAAACCGGCGUGAGCCAGGUUGGUUUCUAUCUUUACAAAGUUAAAUUAUUUUAGUACGAAAGGACCAGAUACUUAAUAUUUUAUUUUAUUUUUGAAUAAAAUUAUU
rnacentral:rRNA from 1 species